rnacentral:rRNA from 1 species
AACUAACGCUGGCGGCGUGCCUAACACAUGCAAGUCGUACGAGAAAGUUGGCUUCGGCCGAUGAGUAAAGUGGCGCACGGGUGAGUAACGCGUGGAUAAUCUACCCCUCAGUUGGGAAUAACUCAUCGAAAGGUGGGCUAAUACCGAAUAAUACUGCAUGACUUCUGUUGUGUAGUCAAAGAUGGCCUCUGCUUGCAUGCUAUUGCUGAAGGAUGAGUCCGCGUACCAUUAGCUAGUUGGUAGGGUAAUGGCCUACCAAGGCAACGAUGGUUAGCUGGUCUGAGAGGAUGAUCAGCCACACUGGAACUGAGACACGGUCCAGACUCCUACGGGAGGCAGCAGUGAGGAAUAUUGCGCAAUGGGGGAAACCCUGACGCAGCAACGCCGCGUGAGUGAGGAAGGUUUUCGGACCGUAAAGCUCUGUCGAGCGGGAAGAAAUGCAUAAUUGCUAAUAUCCAUUAUGCUUGACGGUACCGAC